ACGUAGGGGGCGAGCGUUACUCGGAAUUAUUGGGUGUAAAGGGCGAGUAGGCGGCUUUACAAGUUAGUUGUGAAAUCCUGCAGCUCAACUGAAGAACUGCUCUUAAAACUGUUUAGCUUGAGUUUGGGAGAGGAAAGCGGAAUUCUCGGUGUAAGAGUGAAAUCCGUAGAUAUCGGGAGGAACACCAGUGGCGAAGGCGGCUUUCUGGCCCAGUACUGACGCUGAAGUGCGAAAGCGAGGGGAGCAAACAG
rnacentral:rRNA from 1 species